GUCACGCAUCUUCCAAUCAAGCUCCAGUGAGGGAAUUAAGGACGGCACAUUGUCCUUGUAAUGGGGAUCCAGCAGGGUGGCCACCCAGUAAUCAGCACAAGUUAGAAUGUGGACAACUUGGCAGUCGUUGCGCAGGCACUGCAGCAUGUAGUCGCUAAUGUGUGGGCAGUCGUUGCGCAGGCACUUUGGUGACUCUAGAUAAUCCAGUGUCGGUGACGACGCAUUCGGAUGUCUGCCCUUUCAACUUUCGAUUGCACUUUCUGCGCCUACCAGGUGACCACGGGUAACGGGGAAUCAAGGUUCGAUUCCGGAGAGGGAGUCUGAGAAACGGCUACCACAUCCAGGGAAGGCAGCAGGCG